rnacentral:rRNA from 1 species
GACGAACGCUGGCGGCGUGCUUAACACAUGCAAGUCGUACGGUAAGGCCCUUUCGGGGGUAUACGAGUGGCGAACGGGUGGGUAACACGUGAGUAACCUGCCCACCACUUUGGGAUAAUGCUUGGAAACUGGUGUUAAUACUGGAUAUGCGCUACUGCUGCAUGGUGGGGGUUGGAAAACUCCAGUGGUUGCGGAUGGACUCGCGGCCUAGUAGCUUGUUGGUGGGGCAGUGGCCUACCAAGGCGGCGACGGGUAGUCGGACUGAGAGGGUGACCGGCCACAGUGGGACUGAGAUACGGACCAGACUCCUACGGGAGGCGGCAGUGGGGAAUAUUGCACAAUGGGCGCAAGCCUGAUGCAGCAGCACCGCGUGCGGGAUGACGGCCUUCGGGUUGUAAACCGCUUUCAGCAGGGACGGAGAUUUUUGUGACGGUACCUGAAGAAGAAGCACCGGCUAACUACGUG